CUCGUUGGUCAGUAGACGCCCUAUUUAAGCACAUGCAUCCCCCUAUACAUCCUCACCAAUACCAGUGCUAGCAAAUCUAGCUAUCCCACCCUCUCUCCGUGAGCUAGCCCACCACCACAAGGUCCACAACUACAGCUAACUCGGUCGAGAUGGCUCGCACUGCAGCUACUAAGCUCGUGCUGGUCGCCCUGGUGGCGGCAAUGAUCCUCGCAGCCUCCGACGCGGCCAUCAGCUGCGGCCAGGUGAGCUCUGCCUUGGCCCCCUGCGUCGCCUAUGCGAAGGGCAGCGGGACCAGCCCGUCUGGGGCCUGCUGCAGCGGCGUCAGGAAAUUGGCCGGCUUAGCGCGGAGCACCGCCGACAAGCAAGCUACAUGCAGGUGCCUCAAGAGUGUUGCCGGAGGGCUCAACCCCAACAAGGCCGCAGGCAUUCCCUCCAAGUGCGGCGUCAGCGUCCCCUACACGAUCAGCGCAUCCGUGGACUGCUCUAAGAUCCACUGAUCGAUUUCUGGCCGCCAUCAUCGCCGAUUAUAGUUCCAGCGAUUGAUGCUGAGUACGUUGAGGUCUCACACACACAUAUAUACAUAUACAUGAAUAAAUGCUCUGAUAUGAUCUCCAUGUGAGAGAUAGGAGUACGUACAUCGAGCCAGCUUUGCAUAGCUGGCCACUGUUGUAUCUAUUUUGUAUCAGCGUUUGAUUGUUCGUUCACUCCCUUUGAGCAGACACGGGAGUUUGUUGUACUUUGUACGAUGUACGCUUAUCAUAUAUGGAUUAUAAAUUAAUCUACCUCUAUUCGGUUAACAUGCGUCCUUAUUUGAAAGGACUAAGAGCAUCUGUAGUAAAGUCAC
rnacentral:rRNA from 1 species